rnacentral:ncRNA from 1 species
CAUAGGCAGUGGCUUGGUUAAGGGAACACACCGUAGUCGUAGUUAAAGCGAGUAUUCAGAGGGAAAUAUUCACUACUUAUCGUCCUAAACUUGGGUAAUCUAUCCACGAUCGGGAUGAAGCUUGGGUAAACUAAGUAGAGGUCCGACCAACUAAUGUUGAAGAAUCUGCGGGUGAGUUCUGGUUAGGAUGAAAUGUCACUAGCACCCAAAGCUAGGUGG